GACGAACGCUGGCGGCGUGCUUGACACAUGCAAGUCGAACGGUAAGGCUCCAGCUUGCUGGGGUACACGGGUGGCGAACGGGUGAGUAACACGUGGGUGACCUGCCCUGCACUUCGGGAUAAGCCUGGGAAACUGGGUCUAAUACCGGAUAGGACCAUGGUGUGGAUACUGUGGUGGAAAGUUUUUUCGGUGUGGGAUGGGCCCGCGGCCUAUCAGCUUGUUGGUGGGGUAAUGGCCUACCAAGGCGGCGACGGGUAGCCGGCCUGAGAGGGUGGACGGCCACAUUGGGACUGAGACACGGCCCAGACUCCUACGGGAGGCAGCAGUGGGGAAUAUUGCACAAUGGGCGGAAGCCUGAUGCAGCGACGCCGCGUGGGGGAUGACGGCCUUCGGGUUGUAAACUCCUUUCACCAUCGACGAAGGGUUUCUGACGGUAGAUGGAGAAGAAGCACCGGCUAACUACGUG
rnacentral:rRNA from 1 species